GACGUAGGGUGCGAGCGUUGUCCGGAUUUAUUGGGCGUAAAGAGCUCGUAGGCGGCUCGUCGCGUCGGCUGUCGAAAACCCGCGGUCUUAACUGUGGGCUUGCAGCUGAUACGGGCGGGCUAGAGUUCGGUAGGGGAGACUGGAAUUCCUGGUGUAGCGGUGAAAUGCGUAGAGAUGUGGAGGAACACCGAUGGCGAAGGCAGCCUCCUGGGUCCAACACUGAC
rnacentral:rRNA from 1 species